rnacentral:Y_RNA from 1 species
GGCUGGUCUGAGUGCAGAGUUGUUUAAAACUAAUUGAUCACAACCAGUUACAGAUUCCUUUGUUCCUCCUCCACUCCCACUGCUCCACUUGACUAGCCUAAA